AUGGCCGACGCGGGUCAAAAUGUAGUAUCUGUUCUUAUCAGCUUAAUAUCUGAUACGAGUUGUAUUUGGACCCAAAGUAUUUAACCUAUUUUUGCUAGUUGGUGGAGUGCUUGAAGCCUGCUUCACCUCCGCCGUGGGUCAGCCCAGUAUUGCACUAUCUUCGGGAUUUUUGGUCUAUGGACA